GCCAGUGUGGUGUAGUGGUUUGAGUGUUGGACUAUGACUCUGGAGACCAGGGUUCAAAUCCCCACUCAGCCA
rnacentral:tRNA from 1 species